rnacentral:rRNA from 1 species
UCAGCUUACAGGGCAAUGCUUGGUGCUCGGCAGCAAACAAAUAAUCCAGCUAGCUCGGCAGGUGAUGAUAGAACAUUUUGGAAGAAGCUUUGGAAGAUGCCUGUUCCCCCAAAGGUCCGUAAUUUUUGGUGGCGUGUGAUUAGGAAGUUUAUCCCAUGCCGAUCUAUUCUGAAGGAAAGACAUAUUGAACAAAUCAGUUUCUGCGAGGAUUGUGGAUGUGAAGAAACAAUCACUCAUUCUUUGUUCGAUUGUACAUGGGCUAAGCUGUUUUGGCAUCAAAUAAGGAACAUGUUGGGUGUCAAACUUCCUCGUUUGCAUCCGGACUCAUGGGCGAUGGAUAUGAUUGAU